rnacentral:lncRNA from 1 species
CUACCUCUAUCUAAUUUUAUUGAUUAUUCACCCUGAAUUCUUACUUCAUAAUAUUUAAAGACAUGGGUUACCAUCAUGACAUAAGGCAGAGACGUCUGUGCCCUACCCAUCCCUUCUUGCAUAACCUUGAUUAUCAUUCUUGAAAGGUUGAGUGUGAUACAUUUGACUACAUGAUACAUAAUUGCUAAAUCCUUCUCUAUUACAGUAUCAAAUCCUCCAGCCCG